rnacentral:rRNA from 1 species
GUCCUACGGGAGGCAGCAGUUAGGAAUAUUCGUCAAUGGGGGAAACCCUGAACGAGCAAUGCCGCGUGAACGAUGACGGUCCUCUGGAUUGUAAAGUUCUGUUGUUUGGGAAGAACGGCUAUAAUAGGAAAUGAUUAGAGAUUGACUGUACCAUUCAAGAAAGCCACGGCUAACUACGUGCCAGCAGCCGCGGUAAUACGUAGGUGGCGAGCGUUAUCCGGAUUUACUGGGUGUAAAGGGCGUGUAGCCGGGCUGACAAGUCAGAUGUGAAAUCCGGGGGCUCAACC